UUAACUGCAAAGGGGAGCCCUUUUGGCUGAGAGUGAUUAAGUUCAGACCCUUGAACCUGUUGUGUUAACGCACGCGUAGGAAUUGUAGUUGGCGCCAAG
rnacentral:ncRNA from 1 species